rnacentral:rRNA from 1 species
GGCGGCAGGCCUAACACAUGCAAGUCGAGCGGCAGCGGAAAGUAGCUUGGUACUUUGCCGGCGAGCGGCGGACGGGUGAGUAAUGUCUGGGAAACUGCCUGAUGGAGGGGGAUAACUACUGGAAACGGUAGCUAAUACCGCAUAACGUCGCAAGACCAAAGAGGGGGACCUUCGGGCCUCUUGCCAUCAGAUGUGCCCAGAUGGGAUUAGCUAGUAGGUGGGGUAACUGGCUCACCUAGGCGACGAUCCCUAGCUGGUCUGAGAGGAGUGACCAGCCACACUGGAACUGAGACACGGUCC